AAGACCGACAGUGUCAACUUACAUCUUGCCAUUCUACUGUCAAAUGUACAUUCACAUCUACUGCUAGAGUUUUAUCAAUAUGAGAUUAUCAGUGUCUUUAUUGAUAGAGGCUUCUAUGCACUUUUGUAUGUUGCUCUGCAUAAGGGCAAGAGUUUGAGAAGCUGGAACACAGCAAAAUAAAAUUUCCACCUGACACAAUUUUCCCAGUUUCAGAGAGAAUAACCAUUGCUAUUGAAGCCUAAAAACUCCAGAGAUCUAUUUUGUAACAUCUAAACAUUAAAGGCUUGGCACAUUAAAAAUGCUUUAGAAAACAAAACAAACGUGUAGCCAAUGAGCAGAAAGGGGUGUGUCUUGUCAAUAUGCAGUGGAGAGAGGGUUCAGUGUGCAUGUCUGCCAUUAGCCGAAAGCGACUGACACCUGCCGUUACCUCUGGCUCUGGUUCUAGGUGUUGAUCGUCGUCUUUUGUGUGAAACGGAGCUAAACCUUUCAUGGUAAAACACACAGUACUACAGAAACACAUUUGUAUUACCAUAGUAUUACUCAUUGAGUUCAUUUAUUGAUAGAAAUAUCCCCUCAGCCAGCUGCCCCAGCAGGUUGCGUAUGUAUGUAUGGGGCGGAGCUAUCAUAACGGGGUGACACCCAUUUGGGUUAGGGGUGUGUUGUUUAGGUGAUUUCAACAUUCGCUUUCAGAUCUCGCUCCCUGCCUUUAACUAUUUUAAGACUGAAUUAUCCAUUGUGUAACAGAGAUAUUAUAGAUUGUUUUUUAGAAGGAUGUCAAGGCAGAAUCUCCUGUGUGCCAUGAUGGCACAUGUUGGCAUCUUCUGUAAUAUCUGAGAUUUUUCAGGGUGUGUUUGAAUAAUUUUGGUACCAAAAUUAUAUAUAUAUAAAACCAGAUACCAGAUCAGAGUAAGAGAAAAUGGAACACAGCAAAAAUUAAAUGAUAAAACUUCUGCCUGAAAAAAUAUUAUGAUUUUAGGCAUCAUAUCUCUUUGAGUUCAUGCAGUGAAAGUCUAAUAACUCCAUAAAACUAUUUUAUAACAUCUCACCAUUAACUGUUUCAAAUUUGAUUUAUCUAUCACAUGUUGGCACACCUCUGUAUCUGAGUUUUACCAGCUACCGAACUAUAAAACUUUAUUUAAUUGAUUUAUAUGUCACUAUAGGUGUUCAUUCCAUCCAAAUAUAACUAUUCAUUUCAGAAUCUACCCAUUACUACCUACAGUAAAUAGACAGAAUUGAGUUGUGCCAGCUUUCCAACACAGGAGUUGGUGUGUGUGCCCUGUGAUGGGUUGGCACUCCGUCCAGGGUGUAUCCUGCCUCGAUGCCCGAUGACGCCUGAGAUAGGCACAGGCUCCCCGUGACCCGAGAAGUUCGGAUAAGCGGUAGGGAAUGAAUGAAUGAAUGAAAAUACCAAAGGUAAGAGCAAAUUUAGUGUCAUUGCUGCUCGGUUGUUUUUGUUUUUUUUCUUCUAAUCCAGUUCACAUAGAUUCUGUAGAAUCUCACCUUUCUAACUGUACAGCUUUUUGACCGAUUUUGUUUGUGGCCAUGUCCACACUAAUCCGGAUAUAUUUGAAAAUGGAUUUUACAUCUAAAAAUGUUCCGCGUCCACAUUAUCAUUUUCAAACGUUUUCCAAAAGUUGCUCAUCCACACUGAAAUGUAUGAAAAUUACUGUACAUCUCCCUACUGCGCAGGAGUAAAGCUUCGACCUGCGUUGUUUCCACUAGGCGUUUAUUUGCUUUCGACUGCAUCACAUGACUAAAAAUGCGUCAUAGUAUUCAAAAGCCUCCGUCUUCACAGAAAUGAAACAUUUGAGAAGGUAUAAGUGUGGACAUGGCCCAUAUCAUGUAAUGGAUGAUUACAGGAAUCAAAAUUCUUACGUACGACAUGUUUACAAAAGUUUUUCAGUCUAUUCUCCUUUAUUUAACUGAAAUUAAGGUUUCUAGUGAAAUAGAUGAGUUUCUUCCUGUUUGGGUAUGCUGCUGUCAGGACUCGGCCUGGACUUUGGCCAUGUGCCUUUUGUUUAUGUUCGGUGUUCACGUGUCUGCCUCGCCCUUGUCUUUUCCUCCCCACCUCUGCACACCUGUCCCUCAUGUGUCUUGAUUAUUAUUAGUAUUUAGUUAAGCCGCAUUGCCUUGUGCAGUGCGGAUUCCUUCGUUUUGUUUUUUCCUGUCCUGGUGUCGUGUCUUGAGUCGGUGUUUACGUUUCAUGUUUUUUAAGCUAAUAAACCCCAUUUUCUUUCAAGCUAUCCUGCAUUUGGGGCGUCGCUUCACUUCCGGUUUCUGCGGAGGACGCCGCCCCACUUCCUGUCGGCGGGGGGUGUUUCAGGCCCGUGUUUUGCCCCAUGGAUUUUUUGUUGUUUUUUUUCUGUUCUGUGGAAGAGGAUUUUUUUGUCCGCCCUCCCUCCCCCCCUUUCUGGUUUCCGAGAAGUGGGUCUGGCCGUGGUGUGUCGGGGGUUGCACUCAGCCCCCCUGUUCGGCGGUGGACGUCGCUCGGCCCUUCUGGCUGUGCUGCUGUGUGCUUUUCUGCCCCCACCUGCCUCGCAGUGUGCCUUGCUCCCCCCACCUGCCUCACGGUGUGCCUUGCUCCCCCACCUGCCUCGCCAUGUGCCUUGCUCUCCCCACCUGCCUCUGCCUCCCCCCUCCUGGACCCCAUCGGGACUGUCAGGACAGAUUGGCGCGUCGGGAGCAGCACCUCGAGGGGGGGUACUGUCAGGACUCGGCCUGGACUUUGGCCAUGAGCCUUUUGUUUAUGUUCGGUGUUCACGUGUCUGCCUCGCCCUUGUCUUUUCCUCCCCACCUCUGCACACCUGUCCCUCAUGUGUCUUGAUUAUUAUUAGUAUUUAGUUAAGCCGCAUUGCCUUGUGCAGUGCGGAUUCCUUCGUUUUGUUUUUUCCUGUCCUGGUGUCGUGUCUUGAGUCGGUGUUUACGUUUCAUGUUUUUUAAGCUAAUAAACCCCAUUUUCUUUCAAGCUAUCCUGCAUUUGGGGCGUCGCUUCACUUCCGGUUUCUGCGGAGGACGCCGCCCCACUUCCUGUCGGCGGGGGGUGUUUCAGGCCCGUGUUUUGCCCCAUGGAUUUUUUGUUGUUUUUUUUCUGUUCUGUGGAAGAGGAUUUUUUUGUCCGCCCUGAGAAGUGGGUCUGGCCGUGGUGUGUCGGGGGUUGCACUCAGCCCCCCUGUUCGGCGGUGGACGUCGCUCGGCCCUUCUGGCUGUGCUGCUGUGUGCUUUUCUGCCCCCACCUGCCUCGCAGUGUGCCUUGCUCCCCCCACCUGCCUCACGGUGUGCCUUGCUCCCCCACCUGCCUCGCCGUGUGCCUUGCUCUCCCCACCUGCCUCUGCCUCCCCCCUCCUGGACCCCAUCGGGACUGUCAGGACAGAUUGGCGCGUCGGGAGCAGCACCUCGAGGGGGGGUACUGUCAGGACUCGGCCUGGACUUUGGCCAUGAGCCUUUUGUUUAUGUUCGGUGUUCAUGUGUCUGCCUCGCCCUUGUGUUUUCCUCCCCACCUCUGCACACCUGUCUCUCAUGUGUCUUGAUUAUUAUUAUUUUUGCCUUGUGCAGCACAGAAUCCUGGUGUCCUUGUCCUGUUCUGGUGUCAUGUCUUGAGUCGGUGUCUACGUUUCAUGUUUUUUAAGUUAAUAAACCCCGUUUUCUAUCCUGCA